GAAGGAGUGUUUGAUACUCACCUGUUAGGCACCAAAAAACUGCAACGAAAGCACAUUUUGGCGACAUUUUUCAACUCUUUCGGAACAAAAUAGGGUUCAACUUGCUUUCAAAACAACUCACACGUAGCUCUAAAACCUUUGGUACGAAAAUCCUUUUUUAUUUUACAUUAACCGUGAAAUUUACUUUUCUUCCACUACUCGUAUUUUGUUGCAAAAACUCGAACAAUGCAUUAAGUUAAAAGAAAAGUCGCAAAUAUUCAAUUAAAAUCAGCUUUUCAUUCGUUUUGCCGUCGACUAAAUCCGUUAACAAUCCAGAUUUGGCCAAACAAGGUUUCAGGUGCAUUCCAGGUAAACGCCUCGAUUCCAGACAGAUGCCUGCCUGUGCUCCCAACGUCUCCAAUGAAAACUUUGAUCCCGCCUCCCUACUCCAGCUGAGCCAAUGAAAUUGAUGGGAUGCACCUGUGAACAAAUCAUAUUCUCCUCAUGAUAUGGUAACAGGUAAACUAUGCUAUUUUCCUCAAAAACGACAUUUUUCAGCAGUCCUGUCCAAACGCACCAUGAGUUUGCAAAGUCGUUUAUUACUUUUACAAAGUUUUGACACUUCUCAGAGCUCUCUAAGUAUCGUGUUGUCAACAAAGCUGGAGAACAAGGGACGCGGGGGGAACAGGGGAAUAAAGGUCCACGGAGGAGGAAACUAUCACGCAGGACCACUGGCAUCAAUACACCUGGACGCUUGAAAGGAUAGAAGGAGGCAAAGGAGGAAGAGAGGAGCCAAAGGUGAUACGAAGGAAACAAGGCCCUUACUUUCUCUUCAUGGUGGUUUGGAUGAUCAUAGUAUGUAUGAGAAGUUAACCAUGCUGAACCUGCAGAGCGGCUCAAACUGGAGCGGGCCUAACAACUGGUACCAUGACCCCACUGGUGUUCAGACACAACACAGCACAGUGUCUGACGGCUGUUUGCUGGACACGGAGGGCAGCAUGGGGGGAGAGGUGGUUGGAGGAGGAGGGGGAGCAGGCCGAGG